rnacentral:misc_RNA from 1 species
CAGUCGCCCUUUAGAGGCUGUGCCGUUGAUCAUCACCAGCACCCUUCGCUGUGUAUUCACUAGUACACGCACCCAAAGACACGCGCAUCGGGUGCUUGGCAGCGAUAAACCGUGGGCAGCAGCAGCGUUCCGUUGCACCCAUAGCUUUCCAUCCGCGCCAUUUCGAGACCUCAACACUGCGGCACUUGUUUCCUUCACCUUGCAACGCGUGCAUGGCUCAACUAUGAGUGACCCAGCCAGGAUCAACCACUAUGAUGCGCGCGCCUACACCCGAAAGGGCGCAACGCGGCGCGUUGUGGUGCGCGAGAAGCCGCUUUUGAAGUCUCGCAUGCAGCGCUUCGCGGACUACCUACGCCCGACCACCCGCCACGGCUUCAACAUCGUGGGCACCUUCGAGCUGAGCAAGGUCAUGGCCUGCAUUAUCUUCCCUGUCUUCAUGCUUCUUUACUGGAAGAAUAAGGAGAAGGAGUUGCCGGACAGCUGGGAGCAGCAGUUUGGUGGCCUGCAACACCGCCAGUUCCGCGAGGAUCAGCUGCCAGAGCAAGACACUGACUACUUCAGCAUCAUGGAGAACUUCCAGGAGCGUCGCGAGGCCGCGCUGCAGAAGAAGCGGGAGGCGCUGCAGAGCAGAAUAGUAUAAAGCGCUGCGCACGGUGGAGCUGGAAGGUGGAUAGCUUGGUGUAUGCAUGUGUGCGGGCCUGUUCAUAUGCCAAUGAGAGAGGUUCCUCGCUGCUGCCGUUGGCAUUGGCCUGACGGACUUGUUCGGUUUUCAGUGCUGUCCUCGUCGCUGUUGUGGAUGGGAGAUUUUGUGCGGCGCUGCCUCUCUUCGCCUGUCGCCCCCCUCCUUUCCUGUCUUGUCGUUGCCGUUUCUCUUUCUAUGCCUGUGGCUGCCAUU